GACGAACGCUGGUGGCGUGCCUAAUACAUGCAAGUCGAGCGGACCAAAGGGAGCUUGCUCCUGGAGGUUAGCGGCGAACGGGUGAGUAACACGUGGGCAACCUGCCUGUAAGACUGGGAUAACAUCGAGAAAUCGGUGCUAAUACCGGAUAAUAAAAAGAACUGCAUGGUUCUUUUUGAAAGAUGGUUUCGGCUAUCACUUACAGAUGGGCCCGCGGCGCAUUAGCUAGUUGGUGAGGUAACGGCUCACCAAGGCGACGAUGCGUAGCCGACCUGAGAGGGUGAUCGGCCACACUGGGACUGAGACACGGCCCAGACUCCUACGGGAGGCAGCAGUAGGGAAUCUUCCGCAAUGGACGAAAGUCUGACGGAGCAACGCCGCGUGAGUGAUGAAGGUUUUCGGAUCGUAAAACUCUGUUGUUAGGGAAGAACAAGUGCCGUUCGAAAGGGCGGCACCUUGACGGUACCUAACGAGAAAGCCACGGCUAACUACGUGCCAGCAGCCGCGGUAAAG
rnacentral:rRNA from 1 species